AGAAAGAAUGGUUAAACCAUAAAAGAUAAAGACAACCGUUGUCCAAAUACCGUCUCAAAGUAAAGCAAUGUGGGACUGUAUUGCACGCGAAAUGACGGCUCGAUGCCUUUGUUAUUCAUUCAUUCAUAAGAAACACUGCACAAAAGAUUCUUGGGGAGCCGUUUCCUGAUAAUAUUUCAAGUCUUUGCGCAACAGAAAAUCCAUUGACUACAGCAUCGGCGCGCGCUCGUUUCCUGAAAACUGAACUUGGUCCGCUUGAUUCACCCCUCAGUGUGUCCGAUAAGGAUUUAAUAUAAUUGCAUGCAAUC